GAGCAAGACUCUGUCUAAAAAAAAAGCAAAGGAUACAUGGAAAGGCUACGGAAUCCGGCUCAGGAAUGUGGCAGGAGGCCAAGAAUAGACAGCAGCAAGAAUGUUCCUAAUAUCAGAUGCAGCCACACCCCGGUGGGGAAGCCACCAUUACCACCACCACCACUGGGCACUGCCCUCCUGACAUUGACUAGUGACACCUUUGCCCUUGCCACUGUACUUUAAUUUUCUUUCUUUCUUUUUUUGAGACAGAGUCUCACCCUGUUGCCCAGGCUUCAGUGCAGUGGUGCGAUCAUAGCUCACUGCAGAAUUGAACCCACGGGCUAAAGAGAUCCUCCUAUCUCAGCCUCCCAAGUAGCUGGGACCACAGUUGUACAUGACCAC
rnacentral:lncRNA from 1 species